rnacentral:tRNA from 1 species
UGAGCUCCUGGCUCAGGCGGCAGGCCGACUUGAAGUUGGCCAUGUCCGCUUCCUCGAGCGACAGGUCGUGGUUCGUAUCUUCGAGCACGC